rnacentral:antisense_RNA from 1 species
AGAAAGGCUUCCUUACGGCAACGUUUGGGGGCUUUUUUCUUUUGC